GACGAACGCUGGCGGCGUGCUUAACACAUGCAAGUCGAGCGGUAAGGCCCUUUCGGGGGUACACGAGCGGCGAACGGGUGAGUAACACGUGGGUGACCUGCCCUCAGCUCUGGGAUAAGCCUGGGAAACCGGGUCUAAUACCGGAUAUGACUCCGCGGCGCAUGUUGUGGGGUGGAAANCCUUGUGCGGCUGAGAUGGCCCGCGGCUAUCAGCUUGUUGGUGGGGUGAUGGCCACCAAGGCGACGACGGGUAGCCGGCCUGAGAGGGCGACCGGCCACACUGGGAC
rnacentral:rRNA from 1 species